AACAAACGCUGGCGGCGUGCCUAACACAUGCAAGUCGUACGAGAAAGGGUCCUUCGGGGCCUGAGUAAAGUGGCGCACGGGUGAGUAACGCGUGGAUAAUCUACCCUUCAGUUGGGAAUAACUCAUCGAAAGGUGGGCUAAUACCGAAUAACACUGUGAGACCUUGGUCGAUCAGUCAAAGAGAGCCUCUGCUUGCAUGCCCUCGCUGAAGGAUGAGUCCGCGUACCAUUAGCUAGUUGGUAGGGUAAUGGCCUACCAAGGCGACGAUGGUUAGCUGGUCUGAGAGGAUGAUCAGCCACACUGGAACUGAGACACGGUCCAGACUCCUACGGGAGGCAGCAGUGAGGAAUCUUGCGCAAUGGGGGCAACCCUGACGCAGCAACGCCGCGUGAGUGAGGAAGGUCUUCGGAUCGUAAAGCUCUGUCGGAUGGAAAGAACCGCAUGGGGGUAAAUAGCCCUCAUGUCUGACGGUACCAUCAGAGGAAGCACCGGCUAACUCCGUGCCAGCCGCCGCAGUAA
rnacentral:rRNA from 1 species